UACGUAGGGUGCAAGCGUUUUCCGGAAUUAUUGGGCGUAAAGAGCUCGUAGGCGGUUUGUCUCGUCUGCUGUGAAAUCCCGAGGCUCAACCUCGGGUCUGCAGUGGGUACGGGCAGACUAGAGUGUGGUAGGGGAGAUUGGAAUUCCUGGUGUAGCGGUGGAAUGCGCAGAUAUCAGGAGGAACACCGAUGGCGAAGGCAGAUCUCUGGGCCAUUACUGACGCUGAGGAGCGAAAGCAUGGGGAGCGAACAGG
rnacentral:rRNA from 1 species